AACGUAGGUUCCGAGCGUUAUCCGGAUUUACUGGGCGUAAAGCGCGUUCAGGCGGUUUGGCAAGUCGGGCAUGAAAUCUCUCGGCUCAACCGGGAGAGGUUGUCCGAUACUGCUGGACUUGAGGGCAGUAGAGGGUGGUGGAAUUCCGGGUGUAGUGGUGAAAUGCGUAGAGAUCGGCAGGAACACCAAGGGAGAAGUCAGCCACCUGGGCAUGUGCUGACGCUGAGGUGCGAAAGCGUGGGGAGCGAACUGG
rnacentral:rRNA from 1 species